GAUGAACGCUGGCGGCGUGCCUAAUACAUGCAAGUCGAGCGAACAGACGAGGAGCUUGCUCCUCUGACGUUAGCGGCGGACGGGUGAGUAACACGUGGAUAACCUACCUAUAAGACUGGGAUAACUUCGGGAAACCGGAGCUAAUACCGGAUAAUAUAUUGAACCGCAUGGUUCAAUAGUGAAAGACGGUUUUGCUGUCACUUAUAGAUGGAUCCGCGCCGCAUUAGCUAGUUGGUAAGGUAACGGCUUACCAAGGCGACGAUGCGUAGCCGACCUGAGAGGGUGACCGGCCACACGGGAACUGAGACACGGUCCAGACUCCUACGGGAGGCAGCAGUAGGGAAUCUUCCGCAAUGGGCGAAAGCCUGACGGAGCAACGCCGCGUGAGUGAUGAAGGUCUUCGGAUCGUAAAACUCUGUUAUUAGGGAAGAACAAAUGUGUAAGUAACUAUGCACGUCUUGACGGUACCUAAUCAGAAAGCCACGGCUAACUACGUG
rnacentral:rRNA from 1 species